CAACAUGUAAAGAGAUGUCGUCAUUUCAGCUUUGUCGGCCUUGAAUUCGAAACUUCUUUGAAAAGAGAUGAUUUACGUUUUUAAAUACAAACACAGUUUAUCAGUAAACUGGUCUAGAUAAUUCUUUAUAUAAAUCCAUUUUGUUUUAGGUUACAAAAAAAAAAAAAAAAAAAACUAGUAUAACGUUGUUAAUUAAACCUUACUACUAAUCAAGCAGCCAUAAAUAUGUGUGGGUUGCGUGAGUCAAACAAUCCUUUGUCAUGACUCAUGUGGUUUGAAAUGAUCGAAUCCUCAUUGGUUUCUAUUCUAAAGAAUUAAAUCCUCAUAAAUGGGUUUUUA
rnacentral:lncRNA from 1 species